UUGUCCUGUGACUGCGUACCUUUUGUAUAAUGGGUCAGCGACUUAUAUUCAGUGGCAAGGUUAACCAUCUAGGGGAGCCGUAGGGAAACCGAGUCUUAACUGGGCGUUCAGUCUCUGGAUAUAGACCCGAAACCAGGUGAUCUAGCCAUGGGCAGGUUGAAGGUUGAGUAACAUCAACUGGAGGACCGAACCGACUAAUGUUGAAAAAUUAGCGGAUGACUUGUGGCUAGGGGUGAAAGGCCAAUCAAACCUGGAGAUAGCUGGUUCUCCCCGAAAGCUAUUUAGGUAGCGCCUCGGACGAAUACUACUGGGGGUAGAGCACUGUUAAGGCUAGGGGGUCAUCCCGACUUACCAACCCUUUGCAAACUCCGAAUACCAGUAAGUACUAUCCGGGAGACACACGGCGGGUGCUAACGUCCGUCGUGGAGAGGGAAACAACCCAGACCGCCAGCUAAGGUCCCAAAUUACUACUAAGUGGGAAACGAUGUGGGAAGGCUCAGACAGCCAGGAUGUUGGCUUAGAAGCAGCCAUCAUUUAAAGAAAGCGUAAUAGCUCACUGGUCGAGUCGGCCUGCGCGGAAGAUGUAACGGGGCUAAGUAGUAAACCGAAGCUGCGGCAAUGCUCUUUGUGCAUUGGGUAGGGGAGCGUUCUGUAAGCGGUUGAAGGUGUGUGGUAACGCAUGCUGGACGUAUCAGAAGUGCGAAUGCUGACAUGAGUAACGAUAAAGGGGGUGAAAAACCUCCUCGCCGGAAGACCAAGGGUUCCUGUCCAACGUUAAUCGGGGCAGGGUAAGUCGACCCCUAAGGCGAGGCCGAAAGGCGUAGUCGAUGGGAAACGGGUUAAUAUUCCCGUACUUCUUACAAUUGCGAUGGGGGGACGGAGAAGGCUAGGUGGGCCUGGCGACGGUUGUCCAGGUUCAAGUGCGUAGGCUUAAGAGUUAGGUAAAUCCGGCUCUUUUUAAGGCUGAGACACGACGUCGAGCACCUACGGGUGUGAAGUCAUUGAUGCCAUGCUUCCAGGAAAAGCCUCUAAGCUUCAGAUUGUAAGGAAUCGUACCCCAAACCGACACAGGUGGUCGGGUAGAGAAUACCAAGGCGCUUGAGAGAACUCGGGUGAAGGAACUAGGCAAAAUGGUACCGUAACUUCGGGAGAAGGUACGCUCU
rnacentral:rRNA from 1 species